UAGAGUUUGAUCCUGGCUCAGGAUGAACGCUAGCUACAGGCUUAACACAUGCAAGUCGAGGGGAAACGACAUCGAAAGCUUGCUUUUGAUGGGCGUCGACCGGCGCACGGGUGAGUAACGCGUAUCCAACCUGCCCACCACUUGGGGAUAACCUUGCGAAAGUAAGACUAAUACCCAAUGAUAUCUCUAGAAGACAUCUGAAAGAGAUUAAAGAUUUAUCAGUGAUGGAUGGGGAUGCGUCUGAUUAGCUUGUUGGCGGGGUAACGGCCCACCAAGGCAACGAUCAGUAGGGGUUCUGAGAGGAAGGUCCCCCACAUUGGAACUGAGACACGGUCCAAACUCCUACGGGAGGCAGCAGUGAGGAAUAUUGGUCAAUGGGCGAGAGCCUGAACCAGCCAAGUAGCGUGCAGGAAGACGGCCCUAUGGGUUGUAAACUGCUUUUAUAAGGGAAUAAAGUGAGCCUCGUGAGGCUUUUUGCAUGUACCUUAUGAAUAAGGACCGGCUAAUUCCGUGCCAGCAGCCGCGGUAAUACGGAAGGUCCGGGCGUUAUCCGGAUUUAUUGGGUUUAAAGGGAGCGUAGGCCGGAGAUUAAGCGUGUUGUGAAAUGUAGAUGCUCAACAUCUGCACUGCAGCGCGAACUGGUUUCCUUGAGUACGCACAAAGUGGGCGGAAUUCGUGGUGUAGCGGUGAAAUGCUUAGAUAUCACGAAGAACUCCGAUUGCGAAGGCAGCUCACUGGAGCGCAACUGACGCUGAAGCUCGAAAGUGCGGGUAUCGAACAGGAUUAGAUACCCUGGUAGUCCGCACGGUAAACGAUGGAUGCCCGCUGUUGGUCUGAAUAGGUCAGCGGCCAAGCGAAAGCAAUUAAGCAUCCCACCUGGGGAGUACGCCGGCAACGGUG
rnacentral:rRNA from 1 species